rnacentral:tRNA from 1 species
AGGCGCUACGGACUUGGAAAAUCCGUCGAAUUGAAAAAUCGUGAGGGUUCAAGUCCCUCUAUCCCCA